ACAGCUCUUCUGACACUUCCUGUCUGGUUUUGAAGCAGGCCUCACCCGUGUCUGAGUUCUUGUUUUGACAUUGUUCUGAAAGAUGUUUCAUUUGGGUGUUUUAUUAAAUCGUUUCUUGUAGGGUUGGUGACGGAACCGUUUGGACACUGUUUUGGCUGCUGCCAUCCCACUGAAGAACGUAAGAUUACUGAAAACGUGUGCCGAGAGUUGAAGCGAAGUAAAAGCAAUGGCGGACUGUAGAGCUGAAGAUUGUGAGGAGGAAAAAGACAAAUCCAGCGGUCGACAGGGACCGGAGAGAAGACUGAUCAUUCAAUCCACAUCAUUAAACGACCCCAAACUCAGCAAACUUAAAGAGGUUUUGAUAGACUGGACCAACAGAACUCUGAAAGUCGAACACAUUGUGGUGAGAUCGCUGGAGGAAGACCUGUAUGACGGACUCGUCCUUCAUCACCUGCUACUAUGCAUGUGUGUUCUGAUUGUAGGCAGGUUGGCUGGUGUUCAGUUACAGGUAGACGAGAUUGCGUUGAGCGCCGACGCACAGGUCCGCAAACUAGAGGUGAUCCUCGCAGCUCUGAACGAGACCUUAGAGAUUAAUGAGGAAAAGAGCAAAUGGAGCGUCAAACUCAUUCACAGCAGGGACCUGUUGGCUACAUUGCAUAUUCUGGUUGCGAUGGCGAGGCGUUUCCAGCCUGAUCUGGUCCUUCCUGCAAAUGUCAGUGUGGAGGUUAUCCAGUGUGAGGUCACCAAAAGUGGCAUCAAGUCAGACAAACAGACAGAAUUAAUCACUUCUCAAAGCAAUUCCAGUGAAGAUCUUCAGAGAGAAUCUAACAAGGAAUGUCCCAUUGAUGAGCUCUUUAAACUGGAAGCGCACAAAAUUGAGACGGUGAAAAAGGCUAUUUUACACUUUGUAAAUAAAAACAUGUCAUCUCUUGGACUAAACGUGACUGACCUCGAAAAACAGUUUGCAGAUGGAGUGAUUCUACUUUUAUUGAUCGGUCAGUUGGAGGGGUUCUUUAUCCCGCUGUACCAGUUCCACCUCUGUCCUGUGGGUUUUCCAGAAAUGUCCUCGUGGUGGUGUAGUGACUUGUCUCAAUCCGGGUGUUGGAGGAUGAAUCCCAGUUGCCCCCGAGUCUGAGAACUUCAACCCACACAUCUUAACACGUGGCUUGUUGAGCACGUUACUGUGGAGACAUAGCGCGUGUGGAGGCUUCAUGCUAUUCUCCGCGGCAUCCACGCUAAACUCACCACGCGCCUCACCGAGAGCGAACCACAUUAUAGCGACCACAAGGAGGUUACCUCAUGUGACUCUACCCUCCCUAGCAACCAGGCCAAUUUGGUUGCUUAGGAGACCUGGCUGGAGUCACUCAGCACACCCUGGAUUUGAACUUGCAACUCCAGGGGUUGUAGUCAGCGUCUUUACUCACUGAGCUACCCAGGCCCCUAUUUUAAGCAGUAUUAAAGAAAAUAUUAAGAGUGAAAACAGGAAAUCAGAUGGGAAAAAUAGUGGGAAAGAAUGCAGAUUCGAACUGCGGUUGCUAAGACAACACUACACCUUCACACCGACACCGACUUUACACCCCACGCCACUGCAGCGACAUCUACUGUUUAGUUUGUCGUAUAUUUCUGUGGUUUCACUAGACUAUUGGGGUGCAAAUAGCUGCACUGUGUGGCAGAUGCUAUUUACAACGGGGUGCAAAUAGACACUCCAUUAAAUAUUUGGCUGUCAUCAACAACAAAGCCACACAAGGACCCGUUUUGAGGUUAUGAACUUUGCCAUAGAAACAAAUAAUUUCUCAGUCCAAGGACGUGAACAGCUCCAAGUAGAGUCUCCGAAUUAUCCACUCGUAAUUACAGUAAUUCCGACAGCACAUGAACGCAGCAUUAGUUGUUUGUAUUUCAAAAAUCUAAUUAAAAAAAAAUUACAAUUAUUGUUGUUGGUUUUUGUCAACCUCAAGCUCCAUAAUGUCACACUAGCAUUGGAUUUGCUCAUAGACAGAGGCCUUCCAGUCCAGUCUGUUAACCCUGAAGAUAUUGUGUCCCAAGACAUUUCAGCAACAGUAAAAUUGUUGUAUUACUUAUUCAAGAGGCAUAAAAACAAAUAACU